UACGUAGGGUGCGAGCGUUAAUCGGAGUUACUGGGCGUAAAGGGCGCGUAGGCGGUGAGAUGGGUGUGAUGUGAAAGCCCUGGGCUUAACCUAGGAAGCGCAUCGCAAACUAUCUGACUGGAGUAUAAGAGAGGGUGGCGGAAUUUCCGGUGUAGCGGUGAAAUGCGUAGAGAUCGGAAGGAACGUCAAUGGCGAAGGCAGCCACCUGGCUUAAUACUGACGCUGAGGCGCGAAAGCGUGGGGAGCGAACAGG
rnacentral:rRNA from 1 species